CCUACGGGGGGCAGCAGUGAGGAAUAUUGGUCAAUGGACGAGAGUCUGAACCAGCCAAGUAGCGUGAAGGAUGACUGCCCUAUGGGUUGUAAACUUCUUUUAUAUGGGAAUAAAAUGUUCCACGUGUGGGAUUUUGUAUGUACCAUAUGAAUAAGGAUCGGCUAACUCCGUGCCAGCAGCCGCGGUAAUACGGAGGAUCCGAGCGUUAUCCGGAUUUAUUGGGUUUAAAGGGAGCGUAGGUGGAUUGUUAAGUCAGUUGUGAAAGUUUGCGGCUCAACCGUAAAAUUGCAGUUGAAACUGGCAGUCUUGAGUACAGUAGAGGUGGGCGGAAUUCGUGGUGUAGCGGUGAAAUGCUUAGACAUCACGAAGAACUCCGAUUGCGAAGGCAGUUCACUGGACUGCAACUGACACUGAGGCUCGAAAGUGUGGGUAUCAAACAGGAUUAGAUACCCUAGUAGUC
rnacentral:rRNA from 1 species